rfam:Lasius niger Lnig_2.1_23988, whole genome shotgun sequence.
CAAACGGCCCUUUUCAGGGCCACCAAUAAAUAUAACCAGAACACC